UGGGGAAUAUUGGACAAUGGGGGCAACCCUGAUCCAGCGACGCCGCGUGUGUGAAGAAGGCCUGCGGGUUGUAAAGCACUUUUAGUGGGGAGGAAGGUCUGCGACCUAACACGUCGUGGAAUUGACUUAACCCACAGAAAAAGCACCGGCUAACUCUGUGCCAGCAGCCGCGGUAAUACAGAGGGUGCAAGCGUUAAUCGGAAUUACUGGGCGUAAAGCGUGCGUAGGCGGUUUCGUAAGUCGGAUGUGAAAGCCCCGGGCUCAACCUGGGAAUUGCAUUCGAGACUGCGAAGCUGGAGUGCGGAAGAGGGAAGUGGAAUUUCCGGUGUAGCGGUGAAAUGCGUAGAUAUCGGAAGGAACAUCAGUGGCGAAAGCGACUUCCUGGUCCAGCACUGACGCUCAGGCACGAAAGCGUGGGGAGCAAACAG
rnacentral:rRNA from 1 species